rnacentral:rRNA from 1 species
GACGAACGCUGGCGGCGUGCUUAACACAUGCAAGUCGAACGGAAAGGCCCUGCUUUUGUGGGGUGCUCGAGUGGCGAACGGGUGAGUAACACGUGAGUAACCUGCCCUUGACUUUGGGAUAACUUCAGGAAACUGGGGCUAAUACCGGAUAGGAGCUCCUGCUGCAUGGUGGGGGUUGGAAAGUUUCGGCGGUUGGGGAUGGACUCGCGGCUUAUCAGCUUGUUGGUGGGGUAGUGGCUUACCAAGGCUUUGACGGGUAGCCGGCUUGAGAGGGUGACCGGCCACAUUGGGACUGAGAUACGGCCCAGACUCCUACGGGGGGCAGCAGGGGGGAAUAUUUGACCAUGGGCGGAAGCCUGAUGCAGCAACGCCGCGUGCGGGAUGACGGCCUUCGGGUUGGAAACCGCUUUCGCCUGUGACGAAGCGGGAGUGACGGUAAUUGGUAAAGAAGCACCGGCUAAAUUCGUG